rnacentral:rRNA from 1 species
GAUGAACGCUGGCGGCGUGCUUAACACAUGCAAGUCGAACGGAAAGGCCACAGCUUGCUGUGGUACUCGAGUGGCGAACGGGUGAGUAACACGUGGGUGAUCUGCCCUGUACUUCGGGAUAAGCUUGGGAAACUGGGUCUAAUACCGGAUAGGAAUCACAUGUGGGUGUGUGGUUGGAAAGCUUUUGCGGUAUGGGAUGAGCUCGCGGCCUAUCAGCUUGUUGGUGGGGUAAUGGCCUACCAAGGCGUCGACGGGUAGCCGGCCUGAGAGGGUGUACGGCGAAAGUGGGAGGAAGAGAGGGCAAAGGGGACUAGGGGAGGCAGGAGUGGGGAAGAGGGAAGAAGGGGCGGAAGGAUGGUGCAGCCAAGAGGAGAGCGGGAAGACGGCAGGGGGGGUGGAAACAGAAGUCGCCCGUGACGAAGCGUGAGUGACGGCAAUGGGAAAAGACGAACAGGCUAAAGAAGUG